GUGCUUCCUUUGGCAGCACAUACACUAAAUUAGAAUGAGACAGAGAUUAGCCUGACCCCCGCACAAGGAUGCUAUGCAAAUUUGUGAAGCGUCCCAUAUUUAA
ensembl:snRNA U6 U6 spliceosomal RNA